CCGGCGACCGGCGCACGGGUGAGUAACACGUAUGCAACCUGCCCUCUUCAGGGGGACAACCUUCCGAAAGGGAGGCUAAUCCCGCGUAUAUCGGCUUCGGGCAUCCGAGAUCGAGGAAAGAUUCAUCGGAAGAGGAUGGGCAUGCGGCGCAUUAGGAAGACGGCGGUGUGACGGACCACCGUUCCGACGAUGCGUAGGGGUUCUGAGAGGAAGGCCCCCCACACUGGUACUGAGACACGGACCAGACUCCUACGGAAGGCAGCAG
rnacentral:rRNA from 1 species